rnacentral:rRNA from 1 species
UACGGAGGGGGCUAGCGUUGUUCGGAAUUACUGGGCGUAAAGCGCACGUAGGCGGCUUUGUAAGUUAGAGGUGAAAGCCCAGGGCUUAACCCUGGAAUUGCCUUUAAGACUGCAUCGCUAGAAUUGUGGAGAGGUAAGUGGAAUUCCGAGUGUAGAGGUGAAAUUCGUAGAUAUUCGGAAGAACACCAGUGGCGAAGGCGACUUACUGGACACAUAUUGACGCUGAGGUGCGAAAGCGUGGGGAGCAAACAGGAUUAGAAACCC